rnacentral:rRNA from 1 species
AUGAACGCUGGCGGCGUGCCUCAUACCUGCAAGUCGAGCGAACAGACGAGGAGCUUGCUCCUCUGACGUUAGCGGCGGACGGGUGAGUAACACGUGGAUAACCUACCUAUAAGACUGGGAUAACUUCGGGAAACCGGAGCUAAUACCGGAUAAUAUAUUGAACCGCAUGGUUCAAUAGUGAAAGACGGUUUUGCUGUCACUUAUAGAUGGAUCCGCGCCGCAUUAGCUAGUUGGUAAGGUAACGGCUUACCAAGGCGACGAUGCGUAGCCGACCUGAGAGGGUGAUCGGCCACACUGGAACUGAGACACGGUCCAGACUCCUACGGGAGGCAGCAGUAGGGAAUCUUCCGCAAUGGGCGAAAGCCUGACGGAGCAACGCCGCGUGAGUGAUGAAGGUCUUCGGAUCGUAAAACUCUGUUAUUAGGGAAGAACAAAUGUGUAAGUAACUAUGCACGUCCUGACGGUACCUAAUCAGAAAGCCACGGCUAACUACGUG